GGGACCUUCGGGCCUUGCGCUAUCAGAUGAGCCUAGGUCGGAUUAGCUAGUUGGUGAGGUAAUGGCUCACCAAGGCGACGAUCCGUAACUGGUCUGAGAGGAUGAUCAGUCACACUGGAACUGAGACACGGUCCAGACCCCUACGGGAGGCAGCAGUAAGGAAUAUUGGUCAAUGGAGGCAACUCUGAAC
rnacentral:rRNA from 1 species